UCUGCAAGAGGAAGCAGACCCUCAGUCAUUUAACUGAAAUGCUACUAUUAGUAAUGCUAAUAACUGCUUCUGUUCCUGCCGUACCUUUCAUCACAGAAUAUGAAGGUGUUGUCUCUUCAGAGUUUUUCUGAUUCAGCUCAUUCUGGCUUGAUUUAUGAACAGGAAUACGGUAUUUGUAGAUGUCCAUGAUCAGGAACUCAUUGAACUGUACGUGCUCAUGACGUUUCAGAGGAGCACCUUGGUUGGACCAGCUCAGUCUUUGCAGAUGGAUGCACAAACACUGAGGAAGCUUCAGCAACAUUCAGUAGAAAAGGAGAGUCAAAAUACAUAUUAAGCGAAGAGAAGCAGCUGUUCAAGUUAAAAGCAUACUGAGGGAAUGGGCUGUAGCAUCUUAAAAAGGCACUGGUGAAGAUAAAGCUGUGACGAGAAGGCAACAGGCAGAGCAGCUGGAUCAUCCAUCAGCAAGGGAUACGUACCCACACGGCGGCAGGAAUGCUCAGCGAGAGGCUGUCGAAGGUUACCUUCACCUCCUUACUCUGGAUAACUGGACUCCAACUUGGCUUUGCAUGUGCAAUCUCAGUACUGCACGCUGAAUGAACAGCUCGUCCUAAAACACUACCCACGUGAGUGGAUUUGCAGUGCUACUGAAUACUAAAUAUAAUAAGACAGCUAUUAUCCCCACAAAGUGGAUCACGUUUCAUUUUCUUCAGUAUAUAUAGUGAUACAUUCUUAUUGGUUACCAAAACCGUAACAGGUACCUGAAAAAGUAACAGUCUGAGCUGUCAGUCCUGCAAACCUUUGCACUAUGUCAGAAACAAGGGAUGGUGGUUUCAGCACAUGCUCUGGGUGUCAGACAUCCUUCUUCACAUACACAUAUUACC